UACGUAGGGACCGAGCGUUAUCCGGAUUCAUUGGGCGUAAAGAGCUCGUAGGCGGCUAUUCAAGUCGAACGUGAAAUCUCGGAGCUCAACUCCGAGCCUGCGUUCGAUACUGGGUAGCUAGAGUCUGGUAGGGGGAUCUGGAAUUCCUGGUGUAGCGGUGGAAUGCGCAGAUAUCAGGAGGAACACCGGUGGCGAAGGCGGGAUCCUGGGCCAGUACUGACGCUGAGGAGCGAAAGCGGUGGGGAGCAAACAGGG
rnacentral:rRNA from 1 species